rnacentral:piRNA from 1 species
CACAGGGCAUAUGAUGAUGGCUUAACUUGU